UUAAAAACGUGAAUCUCCCAAAAGCAGCUUACACCUAGUAGGUGGUCAAUAAAUAUUUGGUGAAUUAAUGAGUUACUUUUUUUUUUUUUUUUGAGACAGGGUCUCGCUGUGUCGCCCAGGCUGGAGUGCAAUGGCACAAUCUCGCCUCACUGCAACCUCCACCUCCUGGGUUCAAGUGAUUCGUCUACCUCAGCCUCCUGAGUAGCUGGGACUACAGGAUUGUGUGUGUGGAGCGGGGGACACAGUGGGUGCCCCAUGAAUGUCACCAAAAGAGAAGACAGCCCUCAAGAAGGUGUCUGAGGUCAGAGCGUAGCCUCCGGCAAAACUGCCAACCACGGCUGCAAGAUCAGACCAGUCCAGUGAUGCCACAAUGUCUUCACAAGCCCACACAUCCAACAGUGGAGCCCCCAUCUGAACGAGGAAAAUUAAUUUUACAAGCCCAUGGCCAAAAACCUGCCUGUAGUCCCCAGAUGCCACCCCCAUUCUCAGUAAGCUGCUUGUCCUUUUUGUGAGCAGUGAUCCCACAUAACAUGUCUGUUGU